GAUGGACCCGCGUCGCAUUAGCUAGUUGGUGAGGUAACGGCUCACCAAGGCAACGAUGCGUAGCCGACCUGAGAGGGUGAUCGGCCACACUGGCACUGACACACGGGCCAGACUCCUACGGGAGGCAGCAGUGGGGAAUUUUGGGCAAUGGGCGAAAGCCUGACCCAGCAACGCCGCGUGAGGGAGGAAAUCCUUCGGGAUGUAAACCUCACAAGCAAGGGAAGAGCGCUCAGGGGCGAAUAUCCCCUGAGUCCGACGGUACCUUGCGUAAGCCACGGCUAACUACGUGCCAGCAGCCGCGGUAAUACGUAGGUGGCAAGCGUUGUUCGGAAUUAUUGGGCGUAAAGGGCGCGUAGGCGGUUUGUUAAGUCAGCUGUGAAAGCCCGGGGCUCAACCCCGGAGGGUCAGCUGAUACUGGCAGACUAGAGUACAGAAGAGGUAACUGGAAUUCUCGGUGUAGCGGUGAAAUGCGUAGAUAUCGGGAGGAACACCUGAGGCGAAGGCGGGUUACUGGGCUGAUACUGACGCUGAUGCGCGAAAGCCAGGGGAGCAAACGGGAUUAGAUACCCCGGUAGUCCUGGCCCUAAACGAUGGAUACUUGGUGU
rnacentral:rRNA from 1 species